rnacentral:rRNA from 1 species
UGGGGAAUUUUGGACAAUGGGCGCAAGCCUGAUCCAGCCAUUCCGCGUGCAGGAUGAAGGCCCUCGGGUUGUAAACUGCUUUUGUACGGAACGAAAAGCCUUCUUCUAAUACAGGAGGGUCCUGACGGUACCGUAAGAAUAAGCAACGGCUAACUACGUGCCAGCAGCCGCGGUAAUACGUAGGGUGCAAGCGUUAAUCGGAAUUACUGGGCGUAAAGCGUGCGCAGGCGGUUAUGUAAGACAGUUGUGAAAUCCCCGGGCUCAACCUGGGAACUGCAUCUGUGACUGCAUAGCUAGAGUACGGUAGAGGGGGAUGGAAUUCCGCGUGUAGCAGUGAAAUGCGUAGAUAUGCGGAGGAACACCGAUGGCGAAGGCAAUCCCCUGGACCUGUACUGACGCUCAUGCACGAAAGCGUGGGGAGCAAAC